rnacentral:rRNA from 1 species
GGCGGCAUGCUUAACAUGCAAGUCGAACGGUAGAGUAGCAAUACUUGAGAGUGGCGAACGGGUGAGUAUAUAUCGGAACGUGCCCAGUCGUGGGGGAUAACGUAGAGAAAUUUACGCUAAUACCGCAUACGAUCUACGGAUGAAAGCGGGGGAUUCGCAAGAACCUCGCGCGAUUGGAGCGGCUGAUAUCAGAUUAGGUUGUUGGUGAGGUAAAAGCUCACCAAGCCGACGAUCUGUAGCUGGUUUGAGAGAACGACAAGCCACACUGGGACUGAGACACGGCCCAGACUCCUACGGGAGGCAGCAGUGGGGAAUUUUGGACAAUGGGCGAAAGCCUGAUCCAGCAAUGCCGCGUGUGGGAAGAAGGCCUUCGGGUUGUAAACCACUUUUGUACGGAACGAAACGGUUCGCUUUAAUACAGUGGGCUAAUGACGGUACCGUAAGAAUAAGCACCGGCUAACUACGUGCCAGCAGCCGCGGUAAUACGUAGGGUGCGAGCGUUAAUCGGAAUUACUGGGCGUAAAGCGUGCGCAGGCGGUUAUAUAAGACAGUUGUGAAAUCCCCGGGCUCAACCUGGGAAUUGCAUCUGUGACUGUAUAGCUAGAGUACGGUAGAGGGGGAUGGAAUUCCGCGUGUAGCAGUGAAAUGC